GACGAACGCUGGCGGCGUGCUUAACACAUGCAAGUCGAACGGAAAGGCCCUUCGGGGUACUCGAGUGGCGAACGGGUGAGUAACACGUGGGUGAUCUGCCCUGCACUUUGGGAUAAGCCUGGGAAACUGGGUCUAAUACCGAAUAGGACCACGCGCUUCAUGGUGUGUGGUGGAAAGCUUUUGCGGUGUGGGAUGGGCCCGCGGCCUAUCAGCUUGUUGGUGGGGUAAUGGCCUACCAAGGCGACGACGGGUAGCCGGCCUGAGAGGGUGACCGGCCACACUGGGACUGAGAUACGGCCAAGACUCAUACGGGAGGCAGAAGUGGGGAAUAUUGAACAAGGGGCGCAAGCCUGAUGCAGCGACGCCGAGUGAGGGAUGACGGCCUUCGGGUUGUAAACCUCUUUCAAUAGGGACGAAGCGCAAGUGACGGUACCUAUAGAAGAAGCACCGGCCAACUACGUG
rnacentral:rRNA from 1 species